UGAGAGGUUAGGGAUGUUAAUUUAAAACUGAAAUUAAUAUUAGAGAUACAAUUUUUCUAAAUGUUUGAUUUCUGAUAGGAGGCCCUACAACCUGGAAAAUUCCAGUGAUAUCUAUACAUUAGAGGUUUGGUAAAGUGAAGUGAAACACUUGGCUUCUGUUCAAUAUUUCAUCCACUUUUCAUUAAACAAUAAAACAAAAAUACAUGCCAACUAAAGCUUAAACUAUUUCUAAACCUCUAAAUAUAUAUGUUUUAA